rnacentral:rRNA from 1 species
UACGUAGGGAGCGAGCGUUGUCCGGAAUUACUGGGUGUAAAGGGAGCGCAGGCGGGAAGACAAGUUGGAAGUGAAAUCCAUGGGCUUAACCCAUGAACUGCUUUUGAAACUGUAGAGCUUGAGUGAAGUAGAGGUAGGCGGAAUUCCCGGUGUAGCGGUGAAAUGCGUAGAUAUUAGGAGGAACAUCAGUGGCGAAGGCGGCUUACUGGACUGAAACUGACACUGAGGCACGAAAGCGUGGGGAGCAAACAGG